GAGAUGGGUGUUUUGCUUGCAUAUCUGUGCACACAUUUGUAUCUGGUGCCUGCAGAGGCCAGAAGAGAACAGCAGAUCCUUUGGAGCUGGACUUACAGAUGGUUGUGAGCAACAGUGUGGAUGCUGGGAACUGAUCCCUGGUCCUUGGGAAGAGCAAACCACUGAGCUAUCUUUCCACCCCCUGCUUUUGUGAUUUGAGGCAGUCUCAUUAUGUAGUGCAGAUGAGAAGGCUUUGUUCUUGAUGGUAUUUUACUGCACAUUACACCUUGAAACUCAUACACUGCUUUUGUAUAUGAUCUCUACUAAGAAAAGGGUACUUCUAGAACUCAUGGGAAGCAGGCCUUGGAGAAAAGAUUGGCAGAUAAAUAUUUGGGUAUAGGAGGCAACCAGGAAGAACUCCACAAGGAUUAAAGAGGAGUUUUGUUUUGUUGUUGUUAUUUUCGAGACAGGGUUUCUCUGUGUAGCCCUUGCUGUCCUGGAACUCACUCAGUAGACCAGGCUGGCCUCGAAGACAGAGAUCUACCUGCCUCUGCCUCUCAAGUGCUGAGAUUAAAAGGCUUGUGUCACCACUGCCCAGCAAAGAGGAGUUUUUUGUUUUUGUUUUUUUCGAGACAAGGUUUCUCUGUGUAGCCCUGGCUCUCCUGGAACUCACUCUGUAGACCAGGCUGGCCUCGAACUCAGAAAUCUGUCUGCCUCUGCCUCCCAAGUGCUGGGAUUAAAGGCGUGUGCCACCAUGCCCAGUUACCAAAGAGGAGUUUUUGAUGAAAGAAAUACAGUUAGUUGGGAGUUAAAAGUGGAACUUUUUGGUAGAGUACAUAUUUGGUAUGCAUAAAGUUCUGGUUCUAUAAUCUCUGAAAAGUUUUUUUUAAAAGUAAAACAAGCAAACAAACAAACAAAAACCCAGACUUCAGUAAUCAAAGUAUAGGGACCAGGAAAACACUGGGACAUUUCAAAAAUCAGUGGAGGAGUUUGGAGGGAACUAAACAGUCCUCCCUUUCUUUGGCAUUUUACUCUCUAGUCUCCAGGAUGCCUGAAUUUUAGCCAUAUUCUUUCUUGGGUAGUUUUGUAGGCCCAGCCUUGACUCCACAGGUUGCCUGUGGAGUCUUUUAGUUCCCACUUGAGACAGAAAUGCCCAGGUCUGACUACACGGGCUGUACCAUUAGGUGGUAUACCCAGGGAAUUCUGGCACUUGAAAGGAGGAAGCAGGAGGAUCAGGAUUUGAACUGUUUCAAGAAAACCAAACCACAUCCAACAAAACAAACAAACACCAAAAGGGAGAAGCUCCCAUCAAGAAUUGCACAGCACAGGAACCUGAAGCCAGGCAGGACUAGCAGGGUGAGGUGGGAGCACUCUAGGGGUUGGGGAGGAGAAAGGCCAAGCAGAGAGCAUCCUUGGUAGAAAAAAGGAAAGAAUGAGGUUUGAUGAGAUGGUGGGAGAAUCCACUCAAAUGUCUUUCCUUCCCUUUGGAUGAACUCAAGAACCAGGAUGGGAUCAAGACGAUGAGAGAACAUGGCUGAGAAGGUGACAGAUAAAGAAAGGCAGUUGGGAAGGAAGUUUCUUCUUGUCAGCCCCUUCCCCUUCACAUUAUUUUCGACUUGUUUCCUCUAUUUUUUUGUUUAGGUUUUUGUUUAUUUUGUUGUUGCUCUAGACAAGGUCUCAUGUAGCCGAGGCUAGCCUCAAUCUCAUUGUGUAGCCGAGGCUAGCCUCAAUCUCAUUGUGUAGUUGGGGAUGUCCUUGAACUUCUGAUCCUCCUUGUUUCCAACACCAGAGUCUUGGGAUUACAGGUGUGGACCACCAUGAUGGGGUAAAUGUCUAUGUUUAAGAUAGGCAAGGAAUAUAGUUGAAAAUGAGAAAGUUUAGUUAGACUACAUAAAAGAAAAAAGAAGAUUGAAAAAGAAAAGGAAGAAGGGAAUUGGGGGGUGCACAUUUUUUUGUGAUUUGUUCAUAAAGAUGAGCUUAAAUAAAAAAUUUCGCAUGG
rnacentral:lncRNA from 1 species